AUGUCAAUAUUAAAAUAUGAAGUCGGACCUGCCCAGUGAGUUUUAAACGGCCGCGGUACUCUGACCGUGCAAAGGUAGCAUAAUCAUUUGCCUUAUAAUUGAAGGCUGGAAUGAAUGGUUUGACAAGAAUACAGCUGUCUCUUUUAGAUUGUUUAGAAUUUUAUUUUUGGAUGAAAAAGUCCAAAUAUUAUUAAAAGACAAGAAGACCCUAUCGAGCUUUAGAGGAAUUAAUGGGCUUAAAAUAAAUCAAUAUAAGUAAAAGAUAAACUAUUAAAUACUUUGGUUGGGGCAACCGAGGAGUAAAUAAAGCCUCCUUUAAAUUAUAUAAAACUUGCUUGUGUUGAUCCAAGAAUUUUGAUCAAAGGAAUUAGUUACCGUAGGGAUAACAGCAUUAUCUUUUUCAAGAGCCCAUAUCGAAAAAAAGGUUUGUGACCUCGAUGUUGGACCAGAAUAUCCUAAAGAUGCAGAAGUCUUUAAGGGUUGGUCUGUUCGACCAUUAAAAUUCUA
rnacentral:rRNA from 1 species